AUACGGAGGGUGCAAGCGUUAAUCGGAAUUACUGGGCGUAAAGCGUGCGUAGGUGGUUUGUUAAGUCAGAUGUGAAAGCCCCGGGCUCAACCUGGGAACUGCAUUUGAAACUGGCAUACUAGAGUAUAGGAGAGGAAAGUGGAAUUUCAGGUGUAGCGGUGAAAUGCGUAGAUAUCUGAAGGAACAUCAAUGGCGAAGGCAGCUUUCUGGACUAAUACUGACACUGAGGUACGAAAGCGUGGGUAGCAAACAGGAUUAGAAACCCCAGUAGUCC
rnacentral:rRNA from 1 species